rnacentral:siRNA from 1 species
CGCCUGAUACAUGGUCUAGCAUG